UUAACAAGUAUUGUAUAAGGUAUAAAAAGCAUACAGAUUACAAUCAUUUUAUCUUUUUGUCGUCAGCCUUCAGACAACACAAUGUUCAGACUUACCAGCAGAAUUCUUAUCUGUGUGUUUCUGAUAUUUCUCUUCAACACAGAAGUGUCGGUUCAAGGCUACAAACUGAAAUGUCCACCUGUUCCCAUAGGUGAUUUCAGCCACUGCGCUGACAUGUGUGGAGCUACUGGUUGUAAAAAUGGAUAUCUUUGCUGUUCUAUUGGCUGUGGAAAAGAAUGCAGAAAGGGAAUUCGGAUUAAUCAUUAAAGUGGCAAUUACCUACAUAUGUGGCUACCAGCAUGAACAUGUGAGAUUUCAGAUAAAGGACAUUCGUACUAUUGAUAUUUGUCUUUGCCUUAACACUGACUUUGGCGUAGUACGUCUUUUCAAGUAAAAAUUAUUAUAUA